rnacentral:rRNA from 1 species
GAAUAUUGGACAAUGGGGGAAACCCUGAUCCAGCCAUGCCGCGUGAGUGAAGAAGGCCUUAGGGUUGUAAAACUCUUUCGGCGGGGAAGAUGAUGACGGUACCCGCAGAAGAAGCCACGGCUAACUCCGUGCCAGCAGCCGCGGUAAUACGGAGGGGGCUAGCGUUGUUCGGAAUUACUGGGCGUAAAGGGCACGUAGGCGGCACGUUAAGUCAGGCGUGAAAGCCCUGGGCUCAACCUAGGAAUUGCGCUUGAGACUGGCGAGCUAGAGACCGGGAGGGGGUGGCGGAAUUCCCAGUGUAGAGGUGAAAUUCGUAGAUAUUGGGAAGAACACCAGUGGCGAAGGCGGCCACCUGGACCGGUUCUGACGCUGAGGUGCGAAAGCGUGGGGAGCAAACAGG